AAAGAACUACAAAGAAGCAGCCUCUUCACCACCAACGAGUGUUAUUGAAAUAUACAUGAAUGUAUACGUAACUCAUAAUGACUUGCCAUCUGCUCAUAUAUAUUCAAACUGAAGCACAGCUACCAAAUCCCAACACACACAGGACCCAGGUUUUGGGACAUAAGGAUUGAAAGGCCAUAAAAGACCAAGAACUACUGCUGUAACAAUUGUGAGGAGAAGCACUGGUUCCUCUCUAAAUCAAUUAGCCCAAGUACAGGUGUUGCCUCACCUGUACCCAUUUCUCAGACUACCAGUGUUUGUUCA